GACGAACGCUGGCGGCGUGCCUAAUACAUGCAAGUGGGACGCAAGGAAACACACUGUGCUUGCACACCGUGUUUUCUUGAGUCGCGAACGGGUGAGUAACGCGUCGGUAACCUGCCUAUUAGCGGGGGAUAACUAUUGGAAACGCUAGCUAAUACCGCAUAAUAUUAAUUAUUGCAUGAUAAUUUAUUGAAAGAUGCAAGCGCAUCACUAGUAAAUGGACCUGCGUUGUAUUAGCUAGUUGGUAAGGUAAGAGCUUACCAAGGCGACGAUACAUAGCCGACCGGAGAGGGUGAUCGGCCACACUGGGACUGAGACACGGCCCAGAGUCCUAGGGGAGGCAGCCGUAGGGAAUCUUCGGCAAUGGACGAAAGUCUGACCGAGCAACGCCGAGUGAGUGAAGAAGGUUUUCGGAUCGUAAAGCUCUGUUGUAAGUCAAGAACGUGUGUGAGAGUGGAAAGUUCACACAGUGACGGUAGCUUACCAGAAAGGGACGGCUAACUACGUG
rnacentral:rRNA from 1 species